AAACUGGGAUUAGAUACCCCACUAUUCUUAGACAUAAAUAGAUUCCUAUUCUACCAGAGUACUACGAACCUUAGUUUAAAACUCAAAGAACUUGGCGGUGCCUUAGACCCCUCAGGGGAACCUGUUUCAUAAUCGACAAUCCACGUCACACCUUACCUUUUUUAGUAACCAGUAUGUAUACCGUCGUCGUCAGGUAACUUUUUAGAAUACAGAAGUUAGCAAAAAAGAAUUUACCUUCUACGUCAGAUCAAGGUGCAGCCAAUAAAAAGGAGAAAAUGGGUUACAAUUAAAAUUCAUAACACGAAAGAAAAAACUAAAUUUUAUUCUGAAGGAGGACUUGAAAGUAAGUUAGGACUACAAAGACUAUCUGAAUCACUCCAUUGGCUCUUAGGCGUGCACACACCGCCCGUCACCCUC
rnacentral:rRNA from 1 species